GGAUUCUAUCGUUGGUCGGGCUAUUGUCUGUACUGGCGUGUAGAAUUUCUACCUUCUGGGGAACUAUCAUGUUAUUAAUUUAGCGUGGUAGGAAAUCAGGACCUUUACGUUGAAAAAUUAGAGUGUUCAAAGCAGGCUUAUGUCUGAAUACAUUAGCAUGGAAUAAUAAAAUAGGACAGUGGUCCUGUUUUGUUGGUUUCUGAAUCACCGUA
rnacentral:rRNA from 1 species